rnacentral:tRNA from 2 species
CGGGGCGUAGCGCAGUCUGGUAGCGCGCCUGCUUUGGGAGCAGGAUGUCGGGGGUUCAAAUCCUCUCGCCCCGACCA